rnacentral:tRNA from 2 species
GACCCUUUCGUCUAGUCGGCCCAGGACAUUGCAUUCUCUGUGCAAAAACGCCAAGUUCAAAUCUUGCAAGGGUCGCCA